GACGGAGGGUGCUAGCGUUGUUCGGAAUGACUGGGCGUAAAGGGCGCGUAGGCGGCCGGUUGCGUCGGAUGUGAAAGCCCGGGGCUCAACCCCGGAACGGCAUCCGAUACGGGCUGGCUCGAGACCGAGAGAGGUGAGUGGAAUACCCAGUGUAGAGGUGAAAUUCGUAGAUAUUGGGUGGAACACCGGUGGCGAAAGCGGCUCACUGGCUCGGUUCUGACGCUGAGGCGCGAAAGCGUGGGGAGCAAACAGG
rnacentral:rRNA from 3 species